CUCGCAACGCAGAGACUCAUACAGAGCUAAUAACUACCCAACCACCAGCUAUGCCCCCAAACACACAGAACAUGCUCCACAACACGUCUGUGAGCCUCACAACGCCUAGCCUGUCCUUAAUACCCACCUCAGCCUACGAUGUCACACAUGCUCCAUGGCAGGCCUCCCACCCUAGCCCGUGCAGCGGUAUCGCAACGCAGAGAUGUGCCUCGCAUGUAAACGUUCUCCCCAGAAUGCCAACGCUUGCUCUGUAAGGCAUCCAGUAUGACUGUAACACCUAGAUUUGCCUCCAGACUCAGUCUUGCACCACAAUACUCCCCCAGUGCCUCACAAUACCUACCACGAAUGCAGAGUGGACGGACCUGCCCCACAAUGUCCAGACUUAGAAAACCAAGACAUGCCCUAUCGGCCACAGGUUCCACAAAGCAAAAAUCUCCCUAUAUUGCACAGCCCAACUCUACAUCAUAAACUCACCCCCACGCCCCACGGUAGGAACAGACCUCAAAUAUUCAGUCACAAAUUCAGUCUUGCCACACAACACUGACAGGUGUCUUACGACUCACACACGAGUUCCACGAUACCUAGACACAGCUAACUUACAAUGGACAGGUAUACGCUGUGACACAAAGGUUUCUCCCCGAAACACCAGAUUGCAUUCUGAUGCACAGAAUCCCCCCCAAACACACACACACAUGCACUCAUACUGCCACAGGUGUUUACACUGACACAGAACUACGGGUGUAUCAGAAUCCCACAGACCAUACGUUCUUUCAGCCACAGCCGAAGACAUAUGUUUGCGCAAGUAUGAACAUAUAACCAGAGUUCCAGCAAGGACCACCUCAUGUUUAUGCAGAUACACGUAUACAUACACACAGAUGCAUACAAACACCCACAGUUUGGUGUGUAGGCACAAAGCAACAUGCAGUCACAGAUGCACACUCCACACUCGCACAGGCCCAGAGAAGCACGCAGAGACACAUGCAUGCCAACCUAGGCGUCCAGAGGAUGUGUUUACUGAUUCAUAACCUCAAAGAUGCAAGAACACAAAUGCAUGCACACACACACACACACACACACACACACACAUGGAAAGACGCAUAAAUGCUUCUAGAGGCUCAUGAGGUGUGGACUCAUCCUCAGACACCCCCAGACAUUUAUGGAGAAAUGUAGACAAGUACAUAUGAGCCCACACAGACACAUAGGCAUUUGCAUGUGUGCACACAGAGCCACAGGCAGGUGCAUGGAGUCAUCCGUAUGCAGACACAGGUGUAUGCAUGUUCAUUGCUAUGCAGAGACAUAGAGACAUUUAUAAAAAACUGAAAUAUGGAGAUGUAUUCAUAAGGAGACACGUGUGUUUUAAACACGUAUCUGGCAUCUUUAUGCUCAUAGAGUCACAUGAAUUUACACACAGAGGCAAGUUGUUAUUAAAACACACCUGCAUACACAUGGUCCUGCCUGGACCUGCAACCUGGGUGCUCAUGCUGACCAUGAAAACCUAGAAACAUGCCCACAUGCACAUGUAUAGAAAUGUACCUGGGGAAGCACGUGGGGAUAUUCGUGCAUAUGGGUGUGCGUAUGGAACCACACAAGCAUGCCGUGUGCACACAUAGAUGCACUCGUACAUGGAGACAUACACAUGCACGCAGACAAAACAGAGAUGGACCCAUGAAGACAUCUCUGCAUGAAUAUGAGCAGACACAUUUAGAGAGAGACGUUUAUAUACAGAGAGAGAUGCCUCCCGUGUAGAUACAGGGGAGAGGAGAGGGAGCGGGGAGACGGAGGUUGGUCGGCUUGGCAGAGACACUUUCUUAUGCAGAAGCUCACACCUACACACAGAGACACACAGGCCUAGAGACCCAUACGAAGAUGUGCACAGGCGAACACAGCUGCACUCACACACUCACUCAGAUGCACGAGAGGAGCAAAGUCACACACACACAUGCAGAAACUCAGGUAUAUUCACGGAGACCCAGGCAAGUGCACAGAGACAGAGAUGUACGUGGAUCCUCACCCAUACGGACUCACAAAGAUACAGACUCAGAAGCUUGUGCAGGUGCCUGCGGGGACAGGUACACAGGUUUGUACACUUACAGACAUUGAGCACGGAUGUACUGAUAGAUGAGGAGACCCACAGACAUACCUGAACAAACGCAGAGGCACACAGGGACCUCCAUGUGCUGCAGGUGCAGCCCUAAAAAGACAAAAAAAAGAAAAA
rnacentral:lncRNA from 1 species